rnacentral:rRNA from 1 species
GUUGUGAGGUUAAGCGACCAAGCGUACACGGUGGAUGCCCUGGCAGUCAGAGGCGAUGAAGGACGUGCUAAUCUGCGAAAAGCGCCGGCAAGGUGAUAUGAACCGCUACAGCCGGCGAUGUCCGAAUGGGGAAACCCGGUGCACCCAGUGCAUCAUCGUUUGAUGAAUACAUAGUCAAACGAGGCGAACCGGGGGAACUGAAACAUCUAAGUACCCCGAGGAAAAGAAAUCAACCGAGAUUCCCCCAGUAGCGGCGAGCGAACGGGGAGCAGCCCAGAGCCUGAAUCAGCUUGUGCGUUAGUGGAAGCGUCUGGAAAGGCGCGCGAUACCGGGUGACAGCCCCGUACACGAAAACGCACUUGCUGUGAGCUCGAAGAGUAGGGCGGGACACGUGGUAUCCUGUCUGAAUAUGGGGGGACCAUCCUCCAAGGCUAAAUACUCCUGACUGACCGAUAGUGAACCAGUACCGUGAGGGAAAGGCGAAAAGAACCCCGGCGAGGGGAGUGAAACAGAACCUGAAACCGUGUACGUACAAGCAGUGGGAGCCUCUUUUAUGGGGUGACUGCGUACCUUUUGUAUAAUGGGUCAGCGACUUAUAUUCUGUAGCAAGGUUAACCGCAUAGGGGAGCCGAAGGGAAACCGAGUCUUAACCGGGCGCUAAGUUGCAGGGUAUAGACCCGAAACCCGGUGAUCUAGCCAUGGGCAGGUUGAAGGUUGGGUAACACUAACUGGAGGACCGAACCGACUAAUGUUGAAAAAUUAGCGGAUGACCUGUGGCU